rnacentral:tRNA from 1 species
UCCUGGCUGGCUCAGUUAGUAGAGCAUGUGACUCUUGGUCUUAGAGCCAUGAGUUAAAGCCUCAUGUUGGGUA